ACUAUUAUCCCUUUCCCUCCCAAUAAACCCUCUUGAAACCCUAAAUCACACGCAUAAAUCUUCGAUUUUUCUGACGCAUUUUCCAAACUUGCGAUGAGUUUAGUAGCCGGAGCAAAGCAAUCAGCCCGUCUUAUGCUCUGCUCUCCUUCAUCAACUAGACGCCUGUUUCACCUUCACCCCAUUGCUGCUAUUCAGCAUUGCAACUUCUACUCCACCAAAUCUGCUACUACAGUUCAAAAGGUGACCCAGCCCAGGACCCAACGGAAACCUACUGAAAAAUCCUUCAGUUUCGCGCAGACAAUCGAGAAACAAGCCCACGCGCCGCCGACUGCACUCUGGCCUAGGCCACAUCCGAUAUCCUACCAGCCUAAAAUUGCCAAUAAUUUCAGUUUUAUCGGUAGUGUUUCGAUUCCUGUUAAAUUUGUGACUGAUUCUGACGGGAAACACUUCACCGUUGCCGUGGUUUCUCUGGCGGGUGAUGGUAGGAGGGCUUCUCUGUCGAUUCCUGUUGUGUUUGAGGGUGAUUUGGCUCAUGUUGCGGCUUAUCAUGUGAAGGAGAAUGAUUGCGUUUUUGUUUCGGGGCAAUUGAGUGUGGAUCCGCUGAGGUGUUUGUCGAGUGAGAUUCUGGGAAAGUUUCAUGUUAUGGCUGAGAGUGUCAACUUUGUUGAGGGAAUUGAGAAGAGUGAUUUGGAUACAAGAUUAGUGAUUUCUUAUCCGGAUGUGGAGAUUGAAGAGCUUGGUAGGGUUAGGAGUAGGAAUGUCGAUGAUGUCGAUUAUAAUCAGAUUUCUCAAGUUGAAUCGGGUGGUGCAAAGGAAAUCCCAUUGUAUGAAGCUGAGGCAGUGACGCAACAAGUGGUUGCUGUGGAUAAUGGAAAUGUUGACGUUAGUCACAACAGUUGGGAGGGUGCUGCUAAGAAGAAAGACACGAAUCAAAUCUUGGAUUUGUGGGGUGAUCUUGUGAAGCAGCCCCUGGACUGGUGGGAUUAUCGCAGCCACAAAGCUAAUGGAUUGGUUAAAGAGAAAUACCCCGAUUUUAAGAAGAAGGGGACAUGGGAGUCCCUUUGGCUCAGCAGUGCUCCGAAAUGGAUUCUCCCAACGCUUGGAAAGCUGGAGUUUGAUGUUAAGGAGAUGAAAGUGGAGAAGAAGGUUUAUGGAGGUGAAGGGUUUAGUGAGAGGAAACAGAAUACUGAUCCUAAUAAUUCUUGGGAGGAUUUGGUUGAAAACCCUGGCAAAUGGUGGGACAACAGGGCGGGAAAGAAAAACUCAAAAGCACCCGACUUCCGUCACAAAGAAACGGGUGAAGUGUUGUGGCUGAACAGAUCACCGGAUUGGGUACUUUCUAAGCUACCGCCUGUGAGAGGUGGCCAAAAUACUGCUUAAGGAAGAAACAUGUUGAAAAUUUUGAAGAGCUAGGCGUGACCGGUGCUGUCUUGAAUAUUUGGAGUCUUUAGAAAUCAAAUACAGUAAUAUUAUUUUGAGUAGUGGUUAGCUAUGAAUAAUAUUGUGAGGCAACAGUUGAGAAACUGAUCUGCUUGAAAUGUUUGAAGAUUCUAGUCCUAAUACGUUUGUAAAGAUCUUGGUAUUUUAGGUGUACCUUGUUUGCAGGGAAUUGAAUAUUUGUUUUAAUUCAUUCACCGCAGUUGUGAUGGCAGGUGGAGAACAUACAUCUCAACAACUAUCUGGUGCAAAAAAAGCAAUAUUUAUUUCCUGAAUUUCUUAGAUUUCAAGGCAUGACUCUGUCAAGCAAAGCCUCACCAAUGAUGUGGUUUCCUGUUCACUACAUCUUCACCAUAAAUUAUUAUAGGUAAGCUCAAUCCCCGCCAUUUCUAAGAACCUAUAUCGUUUCCAUUCUUGGUUUUCAACCAUAGAUCUCAUCCCAGAAUCCAUCUUCUUCCCAAUAAUCCUCUGGGAAGCAACUAUUAAUUGAAGCACGUCUACAUAACUCUGAGAAGCUGUUUCUUGUGCAAUCUAACCCUAUUUCUGGGACCUCAAAGAUA